rnacentral:rRNA from 1 species
AGUGAACGCUGGCGGCGUGCUUAACACAUGCAAGUCGAACGAGAACGGAAUAUAGCUUGCUAUAUUUGUCGGCUAAGUGGCGCACGGGUGAGUAAUGUAUAGAUAACCUGCCCUUAAGAAAGGAAUAACAGUUGGAAACGACUGCUAAUGCCCUAUAUGCCUUUAAUACAUAAGUAUGCAAGGGAAACGCUUUAGUGCUUAAGGAUGGGUCUGUAUGGUAUCAGCUUGUUGGUGAGGUAAUGGCUCACCAAGGCUAUGACGCCUAACUGGUUUGAGAGGAUGAUCAGUUACACUGGAACUGAGACACAGUCCAGACUCCUACGGGAGGCAGCAGUGGGGAAUAUUGCACAAUGGACGAAAGUCUGAUGCAGCAACGCCGCGUGGAGGAUGACACAUUUCGGUGCGUAAACUCCUUUUAUAUAGGAAGAUAAUGACGGUACUAUAUGAAUAAGCACCGGCUAACUCCGUGCCAGCCGCCGCAGUAA